CGGGGUGCAGCAGGCGCGAAAACUUUACAAUGCGGGAAACCGUGAUAAGGGGACACCGAGUGCCAGCAUCAUAUGCUGGCUGUCCAGGUGUGUAAAAUACACCUGUCAGCAAGGGCCGGGCAAGACCGGUGCCAGCCGCCGCGGUAACACCGGCGGCCCGAGUGGUGAUCGUGAUUAUUGGGUCUAAAGGGUCCGUAGCCGGUUUGGUCAGUCCUCCGGGAAAUCUGACGGCUCAACCGUUAGGCUUUCGGGGGAUACUGCCAGGCUUGGAACCGGGAGAGGUAAGAGGUACUACAGGGGUAGGAGUGAAAUCUUGUAAUCCCUGUGAGACCACCUGUGGCGAAGGCGUCUUACCAGAACGGGUUCGACGGUGAGGGACGAAAGCUGGGGGCACGAACCGGAUUAGAUACCCGGGUAGUCCCAGCCGUAAACGAUGCUCGCUAGGUGUCAGGCAUGGCGCGACCGUGUCUGGUGCCGCAGGGAAGCCGUGAAGCGAGCCACCUGGGAAGUACGGCCGCAAGGCUGAAACUUAAAGGAAUUGGCGGGCGAGCACAAGGGCGAAUCGCG
rnacentral:rRNA from 1 species